CUUCAGGAACUGCGGUCGCUAAGCUCCGACUUGGCCGCAUACCAACCCCACGCUCUCUGGGUGGUUCGGAUGACGAAGCGGCCUGCAUUCGCCGUUGGCAGAUGGUGCGGGCAAGAGCACGCG
rnacentral:ncRNA from 1 species